GGCCUGGUGGUGUAGUGGUAACACACCUGCUUUACCUACCAUUGAAAGUAUAAAUACGCGGCAGGAGUCCCCCGUUCGAAUCGGGGCAGGCCA